CACGUAGGGCGCAAGCGUUGUCCGGAAUUAUUGGGCGUAAAGAGCUCGUAGGCGGUCUGUUGCGUCCGCUGUGAAAACUCGGGGCUUAACUCCGGGCCUGCAGUGGGUACGGGCAGACUAGAGUGCGGUAGGGGAGACUGGAAUUCCUGGUGUAGCGGUGAAAUGCGCAGAUAUCAGGAGGAACACCCAUGGCGAAGGCAGCUCUCUGGUCGACCUCUGACGCUGAGACGCGAAAGCGUGGGGAGCGAACGGG
rnacentral:rRNA from 1 species